AUGCUUGCUUCAACAGCACAUACACUAAAACUGGAAUGACACAGAGAUUAGCAUGGCCCCAUACAAGGAUGACAUGCAAGUUCGUGAAGUGUUCCAUAUUUUU